rnacentral:rRNA from 1 species
GAUGAACGCUGGCGGCGUGCCUAAUACAUGCAAGUCGAGCGAACAGAUGAGGAGCUUGCUCCUCUGACGUUAGCGGCGGACGGGUGAGUAACACGUGGAUAACCUACCUAUAAGACUGGGAUAACUUCGGGAAACCGGAGCUAAUACCGGAUAAUAUAUUGAACCGCAUGGUUCAAUAGUGAAAGACGGUUUUGCUGUCACUUAUAGAUGGAUCCGCGCCGCAUUAGCUAGUUGGUAAGGUAACGGCUUACCAAGGCAACGAUGCGUAGCCGACCUGAGAGGGUGAUCGGCCACACUGGAACUGAGACACGGUCCAGACUCCUACGGGAGGCAGCAGUAGGGAAUCUUCCGCAAUGGGCGAAAGCUUGACGGAGCAACGCCGCGUGAGUGAUGAAGGUCUUCGGAUCGUAAAACUCUGUUAUUAGGGAAGAACAAAUGUGUAGUAACUAUGCACGUCUUGACGGUACCUAAUCAGAAAGCCACGGCUAACUACGUG